rnacentral:rRNA from 1 species
UAAUACAAUUGAAUAUAUUUGGUUAAGACAGUUAUUUUAUGAUUUUAGAAUUAAUUUAUAAAUUUUUAAGGUGAAAUUUAAAAUUUUUUUAUGAUUCUUACUAUGAUUCUGUGAAACUUAAAUAAUAAACUA